rnacentral:rRNA from 1 species
UACAGAGGGUGCGAGCGUUAAUCGGAAUUACUGGGCGUAAAGGGUGCGCAGGCGGUUUUGUAAGCCAGAUGUGAAAUCCCCGGGCUUAACCUGGGAAUGGCAUUUGGGACUGCAAGGCUUGAGUGCGGCAGAGGAGACUGGAAUUCCUGGUGUAGCAGUGAAAUGCGUAGAUAUCAGGAGGAACACCGAUGGCGAAGGCAGGUCUCUGGGCUGACACUGACGCUCAUGCACGAAAGCGUGGGGAGCAAACAGG